rnacentral:rRNA from 1 species
AUUGAACGCUGGCGGCAGGCUUAACACAUGCAAGUCGAGCGGAGAUGAGGUGCUUGCACCUUAUCUUAGCGGCGGACGGGUGAGUAAUGCUUAGGAAUCUGCCUAUUAGUGGGGGACAACAUUCCGAAAGGAAUGCUAAUACCGCAUACGUCCUACGGGAGAAAGCAGGGGAUCUUCGGACCUUGCGCUAAUAGAUGAGCCUAAGUCGGAUUAGCUAGUUGGUGGGGUAAAGGCCUACCAAGGCGACGAUCUGUAGCGGGUCUGAGAGGAUGAUCCGCCACACUGGGACUGAGACACGGCCCAGACUCCUACGGGAGGCAGCAGUGGGGAAUAUUGGACAAUGGGCGGAAGCCUGAUCCAGCCAUGCCGCGUGUGUGAAGAAGGCCUUUUGGUUGUAAAGCACUUUAAGCGAGGAGGAGGCUACUAGUAUUAAUACUACUGGAUAGUGGACGUUACUCGCAGAAUAAGCACCGGCUAACUCUGUGCCAGCCGCCGCGGUAA